rnacentral:rRNA from 2 species
UCCGGUGAAGUGUUCGGAUCGCUCCGACGUGGGCGGUUCGCUGCCCGCGACGUAGCGAGAAGUCCACUGAACCUUAUCAUUUAGAGGAAGGAGAAGUCGUAACAAGGUUUCCGUAGGUGAACCUGCGGAAGGAUCAUUG